rnacentral:lncRNA from 1 species
GUAAACUUGAGAAAGCUACAUAGUCUUCCUAAAAAUUUUUUUUAAAGUUAGAAUUUGUUUUGCAAUAUCCAAUCCUAACUAUUACAAUUCUAUUUCACUAUUUGACUAUAGCCUCUGCCAUCCAGAGUUUCCAUGAUUCCUGAUAUUUUUUACACCUGCAAUAAGCCCUCUCACUGGAGCACAAAUUGAUUUGUAUAAAUAUCUACUUCUAUGAAGAUUAUGUUUUAACAUUAUCAUUACUCCCCUUAAGGAAUGUGAAAUACCAGUGAUCAAGCUACGAGAGGUGUGCUUUGACAUAAGAAAAAAAAAAAAAAUCCUUGACUUCUCCACUAAUAUUAAACCCUAGGACACCCUGCCAACUCUGCUUGUACACAGGCUAACCCUGUAUAACCUAAAUGUACGUAACUGAAAUUACGGGGCAGGAGAUAAAUUUGGAUGUGUGGAUUGGAACGUAGACUCAACAGUUAGCAUCCAAAAAAGAAAGGAAGGUCACUCAUUCAUUUACUGGACAAAUAUUUACUGAUAUUUAUUUUGAGUCAGGCAUUUUUCUAAGUGAUGGGGACACAAUGGUGAUAAAUACAUAAGUUCUUCCUGUGAAUUGUAUAUUCAAAGAUACAGGCAACAAAACUUAUUUAUAAAUAAUUACUACAUAUUUUCAUAAAUAUAAAAUUUCAUUCAUAAUUGUUAAAUACAAUGUACAGCAGGGAAAAAGAGGAGAGACGAGUUGGAGACCAGGAACUUUUAAAAAAUCAAUUAGAAAGAAUCAUUAAAAUGUAAAAUUUUAUAAAGGAGAAAAACUAUCAAGGAUGAAAUUAAUAAAAUGAAGUUGUUACAGUGAAUAGAGUGAAGAAACAUUCCCAUUCUAUACUUGACCCUGACCAGCAGCAGCCUUUCUACUCUGGAAUAUUUUAAAACUUCUUC